UUGACAGAAGAGAGUGAGCACACACGGUGGUUUCUUACCAUGAGUGUCAUGCUAGGAGCUGUGCGUGCUCACCCUCUAUCUGUCAG
rnacentral:pre_miRNA from 1 species